GUCUAUGGCCAAGCCACCCUGUACGUGCCCAAUCUCGUCUGAUCUCGGAAGCUAAGUAGGGUCGGGCCUGGUUAGUACUUGGAUGGGAGACCACCUAGGAAUACCGGGUGCUGUAGGCA
rnacentral:rRNA from 1 species